rnacentral:rRNA from 1 species
AUGUCUCCCCCCUCCUCCAAUAACACGGGCAACGAUGCUUGGCUAAUGAAGAUAGAUAUGAAGCGAGAGGAACACUGGGAAACCAAUGAAGGUGACAAGAUCAAGAAGCCCGUGAAAGAUCAAGUCCCGGCAGCAGAAGAAGAAGAAGACAUCCUUCAACCUAACUAUAAUCAUCUUACCCCUACUGAACUUGAAGCUUUCAAGAUCAUUGAACUAGUUCGCAUACAAAACAAGUAUCUCACGCGUGAAAAUAUUUUGUUGCAAGAGCAUAUGACUGCACUCAAGGGCAUUAUCCGCAAGUUGGAGCAUCUCCUACGCUCGAUGUGUGACACUACAUCAUCAACAACUCCAUCAUCGCCACCUCCAAAGAAAGAGACAUAA